rnacentral:tRNA from 1 species
GCUCUUGUAGCUCAAUUGGAUAGAGCAAUCCCGUCCUAAGGGAGAGGUUGUAGGUUCGACUCCUACCAAGGGUA